rnacentral:lncRNA from 1 species
AUGCAUGCAUGCAUGCAACACUUUGGUAUGCAUGUGUGUCUGUAUGUUAUGUAAGUCAGUGUAUAUUUAUUCAUGCAUGCAUGUGUGCAUCAGCAGGGAAGCCCACAACAGAUAUGGAGUUCUUUUGAAUAAUCACCUAAAUUAGUUUCAUAAACUUUCAAAAAAUUUGAACUGUUCUGUC